rnacentral:snoRNA from 1 species
AUUCCAUGAUGAGGACAGGCCCAGAUGUACUCCUGGAGCCUUUCCCAUGCUUCGGGGAUGGACUCUAGUGAAGACUGCUAGAAGUUGGAGAUCUUCCCCCUUAGAGC